rnacentral:rRNA from 1 species
UACAGAGGGUGCAAGCGUUGUUCGGAAUUAUUGGGCGUAAAGCGCGCGUAGGCGGCUUUGCAAGUCGGGUGUGAAAUCCCCAGGCUUAACCUGGGAACUGCAUUCGAGACUGCAUUGCUAGAGUAUGGGAGAGGGAAGUGGAAUUUCAGGUGUAGCGGUGAAAUGCGUAGAUAUCAGGAAGAACACCCGUGGCUAAGGCGGCUCUCUAGUACGGUACUGACGCUGAGACGCGAAAGCGUGGGGAGCGAACAGG